UCUGAAGGAGGAAGUCCGGCAGCUAGUUCACUUGCCCACACAGCCAGUUCUCCCUCCUCUCUGCAGUCUCCCUCCCUACGGUUUGGGUCCUGGCCAUUACAUCUGAAUGUGGACAGACACUGCUGUAAGAAAUAUGAUCUUCUAAUUAACUCAAGAAACAACUGAAGAAACAACAAAUGAUGCCUACCAUCAAGUAAGAAUGGGGAGAGCAAUUAUCCCUAUCCAACUCCAGUGCAGCAUUCCUCCCAGUGACUGUGGCUGGCAUCUUCCUUCUGUUUCUCUUUAGACUGUGAUCCCUUUUGGAACAGGAAACAAUUUUCUUUUUACCACUAGAGCAUCAACUCCAAACACACUGCACUUUGUUUCAGGGCUGAUGCUGAAUAGUCCCCGAAGCUAUGCACAUCCCAAUGAAGAAGAAGAAUAGUUUACAAAGCAUGAAUAAAAUGACUGGCUGUACUAGAGAUGUAAUGCAGAAUGCGUAAAGAAUUUAGGCAGCUUCAGGCGGUGCUGUUGAGAGCAUGUUAUUGAUGAUUGUACGUAAGCAACAAGCCAGUGAGAUCUAUAUUCCAAUCAAUGACGUCAGAUCUAUCAUAUCAGAGUUUAUUGACUCUAUAUAAAGGAACAAUAACCUUAAUAGUGUGGCUAGAAGCAAUGCAAAAUUAAAUCUUAAGACAGUUCAAUGUGUGUAGGAAUUCUGAACAGAGAUGAAAUUAAUAGCCCUCUAUCCCCUCAAAAAUAACAUUCGUCUUAAAAAUGGAGUUAUGCAGUUGUUAAACAUUAUCGGUAAUGGCAAGGCCCCAAACCAAGCAUUUAUAACAAUCAGUUUGUUAAUUAAAGUCUCUAUU